CAAUAGCGUAUAUUAAAGUUGUUGCAGUUAAAAAGCUCGUAGUUGGAUUUGUGGUGUGUCCAGUCGGCCUUUGCUCUCUGAGUGAUUGUGCUGUACUGGUCUGCCAUGUUUGGGUGGAAUCUGUGUGGCAUUAAGUUGUCGUGCAGGGGAUGCCCAUCGUUUACUGUGAAAAAAUUAGAGUGUUCAAAGCAGGCUUAUGCCGUUGAAUAUAUUAGCAUGGAAUAAUGAUAUAGGACCUUGGUACUAUUUUGUUGGUUUGCGCACUAAGGUAAUGAUUAAGAGGGACAGUUGUGGGUAUUUGUAUUCCAUUGUCAGAGGUGAAAUUCUUAGAUUUUUGGAAGACAAACUACUGCGAAAGCAUUUACCAAGGGUAUUUUCAUUAA
rnacentral:rRNA from 1 species